rnacentral:rRNA from 1 species
CCCGGGCCUUGUACACACCGCCCGUCAAGCCAUGGAAGCUGGGGGUACCAGAAAUAGUUAGUCUAACCGCAAGGGGGACGAUUACCACGGUGUGGUCAAUGACUGGGGUG